AUGCAGCCGAUGAGUUCUAAAUAGGAUGAAACGCUCGUUCUGGAU
rnacentral:hammerhead_ribozyme from 1 species